rnacentral:rRNA from 1 species
UACGGAGGGUGCGAGCGUUGUCCGGAUUCAUUGGGCGUAAAGCGCGCGUAGGCGGCUCCGCAAGUCGGCCGUGAAAUCUCCGGGCUCAACUCGGAGGGGUCGGGCGAGACUGCGAGGCUCGAGGUGGGCAGAGGGCAGUGGAAUUCCGGGUGUAGUGGUGGAAUGCGUAGAGAUCCGGAGGAACACCAGUGGCGAAGGCGGCUGCCUGGGCCUGGCCUGACGCUGAGGCGCGAAAGCGUGGGGAGCAAUCCGG